rnacentral:rRNA from 1 species
CAGCAGCCGCGGUAAUACGUAGGUGGCAGGCGUUGUCCGGAAUUAUUGGGCGUAAAGGGCUCGCAGGUGGUUUCUUAAGUCUGAUGUGAAGGCCCCCGGCUCAACCGGGGAGGGUCAUUGGAAACUGGGAAACUUGAGUGCAGAAGAGGAGAGUGGAAUUCCACGUGUAGCGGUGAAAUGCGUAGAGAUGUGGAGGAACACCAGUGGCGAAGGCGACUCUCUGGUCUGUAACUGACGCUGAGGAGCGAAAGCGUGGGGAGCGAACAGGAUUAGAGACCCCCGUAGUCCCUGUCUCUUAUAC